UCUCUUCUCGAACCUCUCUCCUUUUCUCUCUCUCUUCACGAACCUCCCUCUCUCUUUCUUCGCAGACCUCCCUCUCUAUAUGUUCAGCAGUAGCGAUGGAUGCGAUGCAAUAGUAGCGAUGGAUGCGAUGGAUGCGAUGGUAGUGAUGCAGCAACUAUUGAAGCCCCUAGGCUUGGGCAUCGCCUCUCUCUCUUUAUCAGCCAUUGAAGCCCUCUCAGCCCACACAGAGGGAUGAACACCUCUCUCUGUAAGUGCAGCAGCAGCAACACAUCCCUCUCUCUCUGUCUAUAUGUAGCUAUUGAAGCCCCUCAGCUUGGACAUCUCUCUCUUUUUAGUAACUAUUGAAGCCCUUUCGUCCCUCACCAUUAGCAACUAUUGAAGCCCUCUCACUCGCUCAAAAAAUCCCUGACUGGCCUCCCAACCAUAGCCCACCCCAUCUCUAAAGAUUGACUACAUUCUAGGCAAGAACCCGUGAAAGAUGAGCUAUGUUGUGGGUUUCGGAAACCACAACCCAAAACAUGUGCACCUUAGAGCAGCUUCAAUCCCUAAGAACAAGAUCAAGUACUCUUGCAAGAGUGGGUGGAAAUGGGGAGGGACACGCCCAAACCUAACCCAACCACACUUGUGGGGGCAAUGGUGGCAAGACCCGACAAGCAUGAUGGUUUCAAAGAUGUAAGAGGAAACUACAAUUACACUGAGCCCACUCUCGCUGGCAAUGCUGCUUUGGUUGCUCUCUCCGGUGAGUCACAUUCCAUCGACAAGAAUAUCAUCUUCUCUACGGUGCCACCCAUGUUCCCUUCUCCCCUGCCACCUCUAACUCCUUGGAAACCUUGAGACAGAGACAGAGAGAGAUAUAGAGGAAGAGAGCCACCACCAUCCUUUUUAGGAUGGCGGUGCUUACUUGUUCUUAAGCUAGAAAGAGAGGGGGGCUAGAGAAUGAGGAGAGGUUACAUGGGGUCUUUGAUGUUGGGGGUUUAUUUGUUCUUAAUCUAUAUUGUGUUCAUAGUUUGUAGGUACAAUAUUCUUGAUUGUUUCUCACUUUCUUUGUGCUUUUUGUGACAUAUAAAGUGAUACUAUGUAUUUGCUACUACUUUUUGACUCCCCAAAGAGGGAUACUAAUGAUAAAAGAAUUAUGAAAUUU